rnacentral:rRNA from 1 species
UACGUAGGUGGCAAGCGUUGUUCGGAAUUACUGGGCGUAAAGGGCGCGUAGGCGGCCUUCUAAGUCGAACGUGAAAUCCCCGGGCUCAACCCGGGAACUGCGUCCGAUACUGGAAGGCUUGAAUCCGGGAGAGGGAUGCGGAAUUCCAGGUGUAGCGGUGAAAUGCGUAGAUAUCUGGAGGAACACCGGUGGCGAAGGCGGCGACCUGGGUAGAUACUGACGCUGAGGUGCGAAAGCGUGGGGAGCAAACAGG